rnacentral:lncRNA from 1 species
CAAAGUGGAAGGAGGAACCAAAACCGACUCUGGAGCCUCCCGAAGUCGUUAAUGAGCCAACGUUAAUUAGCGCCAAUUAACGAGAACUUUUUGGGGUAUCUCCCUAUGGGGCGGCUCUGCCGGUGCCGAAAACGUCGUAAAGGGAUCCGAAGAGCCCGAAACGCUCCGCCCCCUCAGGGCCGCGUUCCUCCCCCCGCGAUGACGUCACCUCUGAUGACGUCACUGCACAUCGCCGCCGUGGUCACGUGGCCGCCCCCCUCCAUCGCCCUCCUCGGCGGUCCCAAAGCGGCGCUUUUUUACCCCAAAAGCGGAGUCGGAAUGAAGGGAUGAAAAUGGCGGUUUUUGGUCACGGAGGGGCGGAAUUUUGGGGGCAAAAAUGGGGAUUUCGGAGGGUAAAAAUGGCGAUUUUUGAGCAGUAAAAGAGUGAAUUUGG